GUAAGGCUCCACGCUUCCAGAAGGAUUGUAAGUUAUUUUUGGUUUAGAUGUGGUCUUCCUUCUAUUCGCUCUACUCGGAGGAGCCCUAUACCUAGUCUCUCCUUUGAACCAGAAGCGAAUCCAGUCCUUCAUCCAUACCCCUUGGUCGUUCGUCCAAAGGUGGUAGUAGGCAGAAAAGAGGUGCCUGCAACUCUCGGGGAGAAGUGGCUUCCCUUCUUUGUCACGUGUAAGGAGCUCCCGCGCCGAAGGAACAAUUUCAUCGAAAAAUGCGCCGUCAAUCGAAAGGCCACCGAGUCGAUAGAGGUCCCAAAGUGUGAUGGACAACUCCCCAACGGGCGUAUGG
rnacentral:lncRNA from 1 species